AGUGAACGCUGGCGGUAGGCCUAACACAUGCAAGUCGAACGGCAGCACAGUAAGAGCUUGCUCUUACGGGUGGCGAGUGGCGGACGGGUGAGGAAUAUAUCGGAAUCUACUUUUUCGUGGGGGAUUACGUAGGGAAACUUACGCUAAUACCGCAUACGACCUACGGGUGAAAGCAGGGGAUCUUCGGACUUUGCGCGAUACAAUGAGCCGAUGUCGGGUUAGCUAGUUGGGGGGGUAAAGGCCAACCAAGGCGACGAUCCGUAGCUGGUCUGAGAGGAUGAUCAGCCACACUGGAACUGGGACACGGUCCAGACUCCUACGGGAGGCAGCAGUGGGGAAUAUUGGACAAUGGGCGCAAGCCUGAUGCAGCAAGACCGCGUGGGUGAAGAAGGCCUUCGGGUUGUAAAGCCCUUUUGUUGGGAAAGAAAAGCAGCAGGUUAAUACCCCGCUGUUCUGACGGUACCCAAAGAAUAAGCACCGGCUAACUUCGUG
rnacentral:rRNA from 1 species